CCUACGGGGGACUGCAGUGGGGAAUAUUGGGCAAUGGGCGAAAGCCUGACCCAGCAACGCCGCGUGAAGGAAGAUGGCUUUCGGGUUGUAAACUUCUUUUGACAGGGAAGAGCAUAAGACGGUUCCUGUCGACAACGCCACGGGUAACCACGUGCCAGCCGCCGGGGUAAUACGGUGGUGGCAAGCGUUGUACGGAUUUACUGGGGGUAAAUGGCGUGUAGCCGGGCUGAUAAGUCAGAUGUGAAAUCCGGGGGCUCACACCGCUAACUGCAUUUGAAACUGUUGGUCUUGAGUAUCGGAGAGGCGGGCGGAAUUCCAGGGGUAGCGGUGAAAUGCGUAGAUAUUAGGAGGAACACCAGUGGCGAAGGCGGCCUGCUGGACGACAACUGACGGUGAGGCGCGAAAGCGUGGGGAGCAAACAGGAUUAGAUACCCCUGUAGUC
rnacentral:rRNA from 1 species